rnacentral:rRNA from 1 species
GGACUACUCGGGUUUCUAAUCCUGUUUGCUCCCCACGCUUUCGCGUCUCAGCGUCAGUGACUGUCCAGGAAGCCGCCUUCGCCACCGGUGUUCCUCUCGAUAUCUACGAAUUUCACCUCUACACCGAGAAUUCCGCUUCCCUCUCCAGUACUCGAUCCUCGCAGUUUCAAGUGCACUUCCUAGGUUGAGCCCAGGGUUUUCACACCUGACUUGCGAGGCAGCCUACACGCGCUUUACGCCCAGUAAUUCCGAACAACGUUUGCACCCUCUGUCUUACCGCGGCUGCUGGCAC